AGCCCCGGGGUGUUAUCAUGUGUGGUUGCAAACCUCAAGAGGCAGAGUAGAAUCUGCCGGGGCUU
rnacentral:tRNA from 1 species